UACGAAGGGGGCUAGCGUUGCUCGGAAUCACUGGGCGUAAAGCGCACGUAGGCGGCUUUUUAAGUUAGGGGUGAAAUCCUGGAGCUCAACUCCAGAACUGCCUUUGAUACUGGGAAGCUCGAGUCCGGGAGAGGUGAGUGGAACUCCGAGUGUAGAGGUGAAAUUCGUAGAUAUUCGGAAGAACACCAGUGGCGAAGGCGGCUCACUGGCCCGGUACUGACGCUGAGGUGCGAAAGCGUGGGGAGCAAACAGG
rnacentral:rRNA from 1 species